UACAGAGGGGGCAAGCGUUGUUCGGAAUUACUGGGCGUAAAGGGCGCGUAGGCGGCCCGCUAAGUCGAACGUGAAAUCCCCAGGCUCAACCUGGGAACUGCGUCCGAUACUGGCAGGCUUGAAUCCGGGAGAGGGAUGCGGAAUUCCAGGUGUAGCGGUGAAAUGCGUAGAUAUCAGUCGGAACACCAGUGGCGAAGGCGGCUUCUUGGGCCAUUUCUGACGCUGAGGCGCGAAAGCUAGGGGAGCGAACGGG
rnacentral:rRNA from 1 species